rnacentral:rRNA from 1 species
AACGAACGCUGGCGGCAGGCUUAACACAUGCAAGUCGAACGCCCCGCAAGGGGAGUGGCAGACGGGUGAGUAACGCGUGGGAAUCUACCCGAUUCUACGGAAUAACCCAGGGAAACUUGGACUAAUACCGUAUACGCCCUACGGGGGAAAGAUUUAUCGGAAUUGGAUGAGCCCGCGUAAGAUUAGCUAGUUGGUGGGGUAAUGGCCUACCAAGGCGACGAUCUUUAGCUGGUCUGAGAGGAUGAUCAGCCACACUGGGACUGAGACACGGCCCAGACUCCUACGGGAGGCAGCAGUGGGGAAUAUUGGACAAUGGGCGCAAGCCUGAUCCAGCCAUGCCGCGUGAGUGAUGAAGGCCUUAGGGUUGUAAAGCUCUUUCAGUGGGGAAGAUAAUGACGGUACCCACAGAAGAAGCCCCGGCUAACUUCGUGCCAGCAGCCGCCGUAA